UUAACGUCACUGUUAUUCAUAUCUAAGCACAUUUGGUGUAUACGUUUCAUCGUUGUUUAAUGUCAGUUCCUUCUAAUUAUAAUUGCGAACCAUAAUAAUUUUCUGGGGAUUCUGGGGAUGGCUGGCUGCAGUGUGUCAACAUGCACCAUUUCUUUGAAUGUUUCUGCUUUCAUUCUGGAUUGUUUAUUUCGUGAUUUCGAAUAUUAUUUACAAUGCAGCGUCUCGUUUUGACCAAGGAAAUGAAAAAGAUAAAGUGUUCUGUGCCGGGGUGACGUGCUUUUGCUGUAUCAGGUGAUUGCAAGACCGUUUUCCACUUUCCAUCUGACACGAACAGCUGUGGCUCCUCAUGACCGGGAAUCAACCUUUGCCAGUGCAUCAACACCUAGGAGUACACCGUGUAGACCUGGAGCUACUCAAGCCAUUAUUCCUCAUGUCAGUAAGAGUCCUGGUGACUCCUACACAGUCACUCCAGCCACAGCCAGUGUUACUCCACUAGCAUCAUUUCAGUUUCCAGCCAGAAGAAAAGUUCUUGCAAACUGGCAGCCAUCACCCUUGCCUUCUUCUCCUGGAAGAGUAGGCUGCACUAUUUGUCUCAGAAUUCACUUCUGUUGUGGCCGCAGUUUCUAGAACUUGCCGAAACUGGAAAGAUUCAUUCCUUCACAAGUCCCUCAGCUCCAAGAUUUUUCGAGGUCCAAAAGGCAUUUCGCUUCUUUAGAUUUUGUGCAAUGAUUGUAAUAAUGUAUUAUUAUGGAAUAUGUCAUUUUGUAAAAUCUAUUAUGUUACAUAUUUUAUAUUAAUGUUUUUGUGGUUUAUAAUUCUGGAAUACAUUUGAGUUAUCUUA